AUGGUCAAAGUGAAGUCAGAGCCGCUUCCACUGCCACUAAACCGAGCUGGUGUUCCUGAUUCACAACAUACAAUUACUAGUCAACUCGUCGUUGACUUGGGUGUGGUGCGGCCCACCCUGACUGUCCUCCCCCCCUCCAAAGAGGAGAUGCAGCAGGGCAGUGCCACACUGGUGUGUCUGGCCAGCGGAGGCUUCCCCUCAGCCUGGAGUCUGGGCUGGAAGGUGGGGGGCAAAAGCAGCUCCUCAGGGGUGUCACACAGCCUGGAGGUCCUGGGAGGGGACGGCCACUACAGCUGGAGCAGCACCCUGAGCCUCUCUGCAGACCAGUGGAAGAAGGCGGGCUCAGUGAGUUGUGAGGCCGGUCUGAAUGGACAGAGCCCUGUCACUCAAAUCCUGAACCCUGACCACUGCUCAGAGUAGAGCUUCAGCAACACUUCCUGUCUGGAAAUGAUGCUGCUUCUUUGAUAGAGAUCUUCAUCAAGCUUCACAUCUCCUCUCUUCACAUAGUUCUCUACUCAGUGUAUUAGUGCAUGUUGCUUUCUAAUACUGAUCUUCUACGUAAUCUGCUUUAUGUUCAUUACUUUUCAAAAUAAAAUGAAAUUUUUUUGGUUCACUCUAAAAGAAACAUUUCUGUCGUCAGAAAUAUUGAGCAAACCUUUAAUCAUCAUUUAAUAAAACUGUGUAUUAUGAUGA